UACGGGGGGAGCAAGCGUUGUUCGGAUUUACUGGGCGUAAAGGGCGCGUAGGCGGUUGUAUCAGUCGGGCUUAUAAGUGCGGGGCUCAACCCCGUGAUGGGUUCGGGACGGUAUGACUGGGGCGCGGUCGAGGGAGACGGAAUGCCGGGUGUAGUGGUGAAAUGCGUAGAGAUCCGGCGGAACACCGGUGGUGAAGGCGGUCUCCUAGGCCGAGGGCCGACGCUGAGGCGCGAGAGCGUGGGGAGCGAACCGG
rnacentral:rRNA from 1 species